rnacentral:rRNA from 1 species
GACGAACGCUGGCGGCGUGCUUAACACAUGCAAGUCGAGCGGAGCGGCGAACGGGUGAGUAACGCGUGAGUAACUGCCCCCCUCUCUGGGAUAACAGUUGGAAACGGCUGCUAAUACCGGAUAGUGGGGGAUGACUCGCGUCCUAUCAGCUUGUUGGUGGGGUAGGGGCCUACCAAGGCGACGACGGGUAGCCGGCCUGGGGGGGCGGCCGGCCACAUUGGGCGGAGAUACGGAGCAAAGUGCUACGGGAGGCAUCAGUGGGGAAUAUUGCACAAUGGGGGAAACCCUGAUGCAGAGACGCCGCGUGCGGGAUGACGGCCUGCGGGUUGUAAACCGCUUUCAGCAAUGACGCGGUAGUGGCAGAAGAAGCACCGGCUAACUACGUGCCAGCAGCCGCGGUAAUUC